rnacentral:misc_RNA from 1 species
AAUCUCAAUCCCCUCGGGUUUUAUUACCUGGGGUGGACUUGGACUUGGGCGUCUGCCAUCUUGCUUGGCUCGCCUCAAAUGUGUCAGUGGGAUCUAGCAUCCACGGCCCGACGUAAUAAGUUUCGUCUGGUCCGGUGUCUGAGCCUGCUCAUAACCAACCAUAUAUUCUGA